GGUCAAGUGAAUAAGUGCAUCAGGCGGAUGCCUUGGCGAUGAUAGGCGACGAAGGACGUGUAAGCCUGCGAAAAGCGCGGGGGAGCUGGCAAUAAAGCUAUGAUUCCGCGAUGUCCGAAUGGGGAAACCCACUGCAUUCUGUGCAGUAUCCUAAGUUGAAUACAUAGGCUUAGAGAAGCGAACCCGGAGAACUGAACCAUCUAAGUACCCGGAGGAAAAGAAAUCAACCGAGAUUCCGCAAGUAGUGGCGAGCGAACGCGGAGGAGCCUGUACGUAAUAACUGUCGAGAUAGAAGAACAAGCUGGGAAGCUUGACCAUAGCGGGUGACAGUCCCGUAUUCGAAAUCUCAACAGCGGUACUAAGCGUACGAAAAGUAGGGCGGGACACGUGAAAUCCUGUCUGAAUAUGGGGGGACCAUCCUCCAAGGCUAAAUACUCAUCAUCGACCGAUAGUGAACCAGUACCGUGAGGGAAAGGCGAAAAGAACCCCGGGAGGGGAGUGAAACAGAACCUGAAACCUGAUGCAUACAAACAGUGGGAGCGCCCUAGUGGUGUGACUGCGUACCUUUUGUAUAAUGGGUCAACGACUUACAUUCAGUAGCGAGCUUAACCGGAUAGGGGAGGCGUAGGGAAACCGAGUCUUAAUAGGGCGAUGAGUUGCUGGGUGUAGACCCGAAACCGAGUGAUCUAUCCAUGGCCAGGUUGAAGGUGCCGUAACAGGUACUGGAGGACCGAACCCACGCAUGUUGCAAAAUGCGGGGAUGAGCUGUGGGUAGGGGUGAAAGGCUAAACAAACUCGGAGAUAGCUGGUUCUCCCCGAAAACUAUUUAGGUAGUGCCUCGAGCAAGACACUGAUGGGGGUAAAGCACUGUUAUGGCUAGGGGGUUAUUGCAACUUACCAACCCAUGGCAAACUCAGAAUACCAUCAAGUGGUUCCUCGGGAGACAGACAGCGGGUGCUAACGUCCGUUGUCAAGAGGGAAACAACCCAGACCGCCGGCUAAGGUCCUAAAUGAUAGAUUAAGUGGUAAACGAAGUGGGAAGGCACAGACAGCCAGGAUGUUGGCUUAGAAGCAGCCAUCAUUUAAAGAAAGCGUAAUAGCUCACUGGUCGAGUCGUCCUGCGCGGAAGAUGUAACGGGGCUCAAAUCUAUAACCGAAGCUGCGGAUGCCGGUUUACCGGCAUGGUAGGGGAGCGUUCUGUAGGCUGAUGAAGGUGCAUUGUAAAGUGUGCUGGAGGUAUCAGAAGUGCGAAUGUUGACAUGAGUAGCGAUAAAGCGGGUGAAAAGCCCGCUCGCCGAAAGCCCAAGGUUUCCUACGCAACGUUCAUCGGCGUAGGGUAAGUCGGCCCCUAAGGCGAGGCAGAAAUGCGUAGUCGAUGGGAAACAGGUUAAUAUUCCUGUACUUGAUUCAAAUGCGAUGUGGGGACGGAGAAGGUUAGGUUGGCAAGCUGUUGGAAUAGCUUGUUUAAGCCGGUAGGUGGAAGACUUAGGCAAAUCCGGGUUUUCUUAACACCGAGAAGUGAUGACGAGUGUCUACGGACACGAAGCAACCGAUACCACGCUUCCAGGAAAAGCCACUAAGCUUCAGUUUGAAUCGAACCGUACCGCAAACCGACACAGGUGGGCAGGAUGAGAAUUCUAAGGCGCUUGAGAGAACUCGGGAGAAGGAACUCGGCAAAUUGAUACCGUAACUUCGGGAGAAGGUAUGCCCUCUAAGGUUAAGGACUUGCUCCGUAAGCCCCGGAGGGUCGCAGAGAAUAGGUGGCUGCGACUGUUUAUUAAAAACACAGCACUCUGCCAACACGAAAGUGGACGUAUAGGGUGUGACGCCUGCCCGGUGCCGGAAGGUUAAUUGAAGAUGUGCAAGCAUCGGAUCGAAGCCCCGGUAAACGGCGGCCGUAACUAUAACGGUCCUAAGGUAGCGAAAUUCCUUGUCGGGUAAGUUCCGACCCGCACGAAUGGCGUAACGAUGGCCACACUGUCUCCUCCCGAGACUCAGCGAAGUUGAAGUGGUUGUGAAGAUGCAAUCUACCCGCUGCUAGACGGAAAGACCCCGUGAACCUUUACUGUAGCUUUGCAUUGGACUUUGAAGUCACUUGUGUAGGAUAGGUGGGAGGCUUGGAAGCAGAGACGCCAGUCUCUGUGGAGUCGUCCUUGAAAUACCACCCUGGUGUCUUUGAGGUUCUAACCCAGACCCGUCAUCCGGGUCGGGGACCGUGCAUGGUAGGCAGUUUGACUGGGGCGGUCUCCUCCCAAAGCGUAACGGAGGAGUUCGAAGGUUACCUAGGUCCGGUCGGAAAUCGGACUGAUAGUGCAAUGGCAAAAGGUAGCUUAACUGCGAGACCGACAAGUCGGGCAGGUGCGAAAGCAGGACAUAGUGAUCCGGUGGUUCUGUAUGGAAGGGCCAUCGCUCAACGGAUAAAAGGUACUCCGGGGAUAACAGGCUGAUUCCGCCCAAGAGUUCAUAUCGACGGCGGAGUUUGGCACCUCGAUGUCGGCUCAUCACAUCCUGGGGCUGUAGUCGGUCCCAAGGGUAUGGCUGUUCGCCAUUUAAAGUGGUACGUGAGCUGGGUUUAAAACGUCGUGAGACAGUUUGGUCCCUAUCUGCAGUGGGCGUUGGAAGUUUGACGGGGGCUGCUCCUAGUACGAGAGGACCGGAGUGGACGAACCUCUGGUGUACCGGUUGUAACGCCAGUUGCAUAGCCGGGUAGCUAAGUUCGGAAGAGAUAAGCGCUGAAAGCAUCUAAGCGCGAAACUCGCCUGAAGAUGAGACUUCCCUUGCGGUUUAACCGCACUAAAGGGUCGUUCGAGACCAGGACGUUGAUAGGUGGGGUGUGGAAGCGCGGUAACGCGUGAAGCUAACCCAUACUAAUUGCCCGUGAGGCUUGACUCU
rnacentral:rRNA from 1 species